GAUGAACGCUGGCGGCGUGCCUAACACAUGCAAGUCGAGCGGCAGCGAGGGGUGCUUGCACCCUGUCGGCGAGCGGCGGACGGCUGAGUAACGCGUGGGAACGUGCCCCAAAGUGAGGAAUAACUGCCCGAAAGGGUAGCUAAUACCGCAUAUUAUCUUCGGAUCAAAGGAUUUAUCCGCUUUGGGAGCGGCUCGCGUCGGAUUAGGUAGUUGGUGAGGUAAUGGCUCACCAAGCCGACGAUCCGUAGCUGGUCUGAGAGGAUGACCAGCCAGACUGGAACUGAGACACGGUCCAGACUCCUACGGGAGGCAGCAGUGAGGAAUCUUCCACAAUGGGCGAAAGCCUGAUGGAGCAACGCCGCGUGCAGGACGAAGGCCUUCGGGUUGUAAACUGCUUUUAUAAGUGAGGAAUAUGACGGUAACUUAGGAAUAAGGAUCGGCUAACUACGU
rnacentral:rRNA from 1 species